rnacentral:lncRNA from 1 species
CGGAAAGGAAGAAAGAAUCACCACCAGCACACUCUCUCUUUCCCCCUCCAGUUCUUCCGUAUCAUCUGCCGAGAAAAAAGAAGAAGAGAGAGAUGGAAAAGCUUGGUAUUAGUACUUUUUUCGAUACUUAGGAACUGCAGUCCUGAUCCCGAGGACAAAGAUAGCUUUGGACACACAAUUCAAUUGUAGUUUAUCCAGUGAAUUUUGCAGAAAAAGAUGAGAGACGCGACCUGAUUUGCAGCAAGAAGACCCCAACCUACAAGAGGAGAACACUACACAUUCCACGCAUUUCCUUUAAUCCUUGGAAAUAAAGAUAGAACCAGAUUUAUCUGGGUUCUCAAGCAGCUAUAGACAAUCCAUAUUAGAAGGAUCCAAUUUCAGCUGAUGGCUUCUAUCCACAAAGAAGAUGAUUAGGCUACCCAUCUAUACGCUAUUGUGUCCUGUUUUCACUCACUUGGCAAGCUUGAAUUCUUUGAUCGCUGAAUCCUAUACCAUCUUCACGUGACACACUUAGCUGAAGAGAAUUCUCCAAACUGGAGCAAGCACCUGUCAAUGGCUGAAUAUACGAAGGCCAAGUUAAGCCACCAUAUAUAAGAAAGAGCAAAAUCCCUGGCAUUCUAUUAUCAACAAUGCUUGAAAUUUGUCAGCAAUGAUUAAGAAACGAAGGAGCUGUGACACACAUAUCAACGCACCUGGCUAGAGAUUGGAAAUCAGCAAGACAACCCAGAGAUAA